rnacentral:pre_miRNA from 10 species
AGGCAGGAGAAUCACUUGAACCCAGGAGGCGGAGGUUGCAGUGAACCGGGAUUGCGCCACUGCAUUCCAGCCUGGGUGACAGAGCAAGUCUCUGUCUAAAAAAAAAAAAAAGAAAAGAAAAAGGAAGCAUCUCAUUGUAGUCUACAUUUUCUUCUGUUCUGGUACAAAAACCAUGUAACAUUUACCAUUUUAACCAUUUUUAAGUGUACGCUUCAGUAAUGUUAAGUACGUUCCCAUUGUGGUUAAACAGAUCUCCAGGAGUUUUUCGUCCUGCAAAACUGAAUCUCUACACCAGUUAAACCACUCUUCCUGCACGCUUCCUCUCAGCUCUUGGUAACCACUAUUCUACCUUUUGUUUCUAUGAAUAUGACUAAACCUCCUGUAAGUGGAGUCACACAAUAUUGGUCCUUCUGUGAAUAGCUUAUUUCACUUCACAUAAUGUCCUUAUGGCUCAUUCAUAUCAUAGCAUUUGAUAGGCUAUCUUUCCUUGUUAAGGCUGAAUAAUAUUCCAUUAUAUGUCUAUACCAUAUUUUGUUUAUCAUUCACCUAUCCAUGGUCAUUACGUUGCUAUCUCCUUUUGGCUUUUGUGAAUAGUGCUGCUGACAGAGCAGGAGCAUCGCCAUCUUGGACAAGCACAGUCAUUUUAACGUUCACAUUGAUCAAAAACUGCCCAAAUCCAAAAUGUGUCUCUCUAAUGGCUAAGAUCAGCAUGACCAUAAACUACAAAUUGCAUUUCUGACCAGAAACAUUCCAAACCCCUCCCUUUCUAGAGACAUGCCAGCCCCGAGAUAACCUCCUCUCCAGCAGGAGAGAUGUCAGCCCCAAGGUCACCUCCCCUCUGACCAGAGACAUUCCAACCCCGCCAUAAACUUCUCCCUUACACAGAAACAUUCCAAGCCUGUCAUAAGCUGUCUCUCCCUGAACCCUUAAAUAAUCUUAGUCUGUGAGAGAACAUGCUCCUGACCGAAAUCAGCCAGAAGCCCCUCUCAGGUUUAUUCUUCAAAAUAAACCUGUCUUUGACUAUUGAGCCACUUUUCAUGUUUCUUUCCUCUUUCUUUAACUCAUAUACUGCUAUGAACAUGGGUGUGUAGCUAUCUCUUGAAGACCCUGCUUUCAAUGCUUUUGGGUAUAUAUCCAGAACUGGAAUCGUCGGGUCAUAUGGUCAUUCUAUUCUUAAUUCUUUAAGGAACCAUCAUACUGUUUUCCAUUGCAGUUGCACUAUUUUACAGUCCUGCCAACAGUGCACAGGGGUUCCAGUUUCUCCAUGUUCUCACUAGCACAUGUUUCUGUUUGUUGUUGUUGUUGUUGUUGUUGUUGUUUUAAGAUGGGGUCUUGCUCUGUUGCCCAGGCUGGAGUGCAGUGGCAUGAUCUUGGCUCACCGCAACCUCUGCAUCCCAGGCUCAAGAGAUUCUCCAGCCUCAGCCUCCCAAGUAGCUGGGAUUACAGGCACGCAUCACCAUACCUGGCUAAUUUUUGUAUUUUAGUAGAGAUGAGGUUUCACCAUGUUGGCUAGGCUAGUCUUGAACUGUUGACCUCAAGUGAUUUGCCCACCUCAGCCUCCCAAACUGCUGGAAUUACCUCACUGGCCUUAUAUUUUUUUUUGAUAGCUAUCCUAAUAGAUAUGAGACAGUAUCUCAUUGUGGUUUUGAUUUGCAUUUCUCUGAUAGUUAGUGAUGUUUAGCAUCUUUUCAUACUUGUUGGCCAUUUGCAUAUCCUCAUUGGAGGUAUCUCUAUUCCAUGUGGUUUGCAUUUCCUGCUGCUAAUGAUAUUGAACAGGUUUUCAUGUGUGUGUUGCCCUUUUAUGUGUAUUCUUUUGUGUGGUGUUUAAGAAUUUUGUUCAUUUAAAAAAUUGUCUUUUUCUAAUUGAAGUGUAGGAGUUCUUUAUAUAGCCUGGAAAUGAGUCCUUUGUCAGAUGCCUUUAAAUUAUCAACAUUCAUAGUUAACAAAGUCUAAAUUUUACCUUCUUUAUCCUCUACCUGAACAUGAAAUGACCUCAGAACAUUGAGCUCUUACUCCUUUACUUUGGUCUCAUUUGAUAUUGUUGACUGGUGUAUUAGCUACACCUAGUUUGUUUUUUUUUUUUGAAAUGGAGUCUUGCCCUGUUGCCCAGGCUGGAGUGUAAUGGUGCGAUCUUGGCUCACUGCAACUUCCACUUCCAGGGUUCAAGCUAUUUUCCUG